rnacentral:lncRNA from 1 species
CCGCCCCGUUCCGCCGGCGCAGGGCUCAGGGGCCCCGGAGCUUGGGAGCGCGAGGGAAGGAGCUGAAGGGGCGGGUCCGUGGGAGGCGAAGGCAGGGGAAAUGUGUGUCUGCAUUUUUUAAUUUGCAGGGGAUAUUUUCCGUCCCCUUUGUCCCGUAAGCCUCUGCUUUUUGGAUGAAAACGUUGGCUUUACCACCCUCUCUCUCCUUCCCGCACGCGCACACCUUGAAGGCAUCCUACCAGGCGGUGACCGCAGAGGAAGCACCCAGAGCCACAGUUCUUGCCUUGUCAGCUGCUCCCACCACGUCCCCAGAAAGCUCCGGGUUCGUCAGAACAGCAACAUUAAAGGAAGGCCCAAUUUAUCUAUGGAAAAAUCCGCUCCGGCCUUCCUCUUGUAGCCCCAACCGUUUUCACUUCUAAGUAGCCGCUUUGGGUCUUACUUGUUGGUUGUACAGUUGCUGUCAAUGUGCCUACCAUUUUGUACCCAGCUUAAAAUUGUUUAUUUAUUUAUUUAUUUAUUUAGAGGCAGAGUCUCGUUCUAUCACCCAGGCUGGAGUGCAGCGGGGCGAUCUCUGUUCAUUACAACCUCCGCCUCCCGGGUUCAAGCGAUUCUCCUGUCUCAGCCUCCUGAGUAGCUGGGAUUAUAGAGGUGUGCCACCGUGCUCGACUAAUAUUUGUAUUUUUAAUAGAGACUGGGUUUCGCCAUGUUGGCCAGGCUUGUCCUGAACUCCUGACUCAAGUGAUCUGCCUGCCUUGGCCUCCCAAAGUGCUGGGAUUACAGGCGUGAGCCACCAUGCCUGGCCAAAUUUUUUUUUUUAAUGUAUCAGCAAUAUUUUUUCAUGUUUCUCUUUAUAUAUAUAUAUAUUUUUUGACACAGGGUCUUACUUUGUCGCCCAGGCUGGAGUACAGUGGCAUGAUCGUAGCUCAUUGCAGCCUCCACCUCCCUGGGCUCAGGAGAUCCAUCUCAGCCUCCUGAGUAGCUGGGACCACAGGUUUUGUUCAGGUUUAGCACAAGCUGUGAUGAAUAUCUUCAAGCCUCUGCUUCCUGCUGUGGAAUUGUUGCCAAAGGACACAUUCCCAGAUGGGAUUACUGAGUCAGAGGAAGUGGACAUUGAGUGGCUCUCAACAGACAGGCUGUGUUGCUCUCACAGUGCCCAGCUUCCCAUGGGUGGCCAGCCGAAUGCAUUAUGGGAGAAAGCAGGUCUCGUGGAUAAUAUUUCUGAAGAUCGGAGCAGGUUGCCAGGUCCACGUCGGCCAUGACUGCAGCACGCUCCGGAGGCAGCAGGGGGCACCCUGGAGCUUCGCAUCCUCCUUCAGGCCCGCGGCAUCUCCCCUGGCUCCACCAUCCCCAGGUGUCUCAGGUUGGACGCACGGUAGUUCGCUAUGGCCAUUUCUGAUUAAAGACAGAACAAAUGGAUUGUCCGGAUACGGUGUCUGUGAAAGGAACCCAGCUGUGAGCCUCGGCAGGCAGGUGCGACAUUCUAAAUCCACAGGGAGGGCCCAGAAGGGACGCAAGAGGUCACCUGCCGUGCAGGGUGCGGGGGGUCUUGGAGGUGGGCAGCAGCUGUUCACCCGUGAGCGACGAGGAGCAUCAGCGCUUGAACAGCGGAAGCAGCAUUUACAGGUGAACACCAGCCCGAGAGGGCCGGGGGGCCCAAAGCUAUGGUGUCCAGAGCCUCCCAGCUCCCACUCUGGCCUCCAGUGGCCAUGGAAUUGCUAACUAUGAGGGCGCAAGCUUCUCCCAGCAAGUCAAGGGGAUGCUAUGUGCUGCGAUAACGGGUCCGGCCGCCUUGCCUUUGGCCUUCCAAGCCCCUCUCUGAGCCCCAGGACGUACCCACACCUGCCGGCCCAUGUAGGGUGGUCCCAGCCUGCGUCAGUCAGGCCACACUCCGGAGCCAGGCUUGGUGCAAACUCCCAGCUGAGCUCACCCGCUGGCUGCGGUCUGUGAUACUUCCCUGGUGGUCUCUGACGGGGCUGUAUGGCCUCCCUCUGGAACCCAGGCUGAACACUCGAGGAGCUGGAGGCAGUCGGGCAGAAUCAGCCUCUGGUUGCCAGCAUGGGGUGUCAGGCAGGGGCAAUCCAGCGGGGAGCCUGGGGAGAGAGGGCGGGGGUGAGGCACUGAUCUCAGGCUGUGGGGAGGAAUUCACACCUGCAUGGCUGAGGCUGGUGCUGCCCCCCUGAUCACCAGGAGAUCAGCCUCUCCUUCCCCAGCCUCAAUUUGCACCCCUGGCCUGUGCGGUUGGCACUGUCUCCCGUGGGGAGCCCCUGCCUGGCUCAGGGGAGACCCUGGUGCAGAGCCCACCUUUGGAGCUGCCCUGUCCUGCUGAGGCAGGAGCCACCCCUGGCCUGGCCCUGGCCCUGGCCCUGGCCCUCCGGUGAGGCUGCAGUAGCCAGGAGAAGGCCAGUCAGAAAGGCCAUCUGCCUGGCGGGUGUUUCUAGCCAGCAGGCCAGGGUAAGGAAGUUGUCAGGCGUCCUGCGGGGAUGGCCAGGGUUGCAGACAGGGGUGGCAGCCAGCUCCAUGUAGCUCUGGGACCCAGGUGUGUGGCAGGGCCAGGAGCAUGUUCUGCUGCUCUUCCAGGCCCGACUCCAGCUCAUUUCCUUGAGAGACCCUUUCACCUAUUCCAACCUGCAUUUGCCUGUGUCGUCCUUUGCAGCAGCAGCCUUGUGGCUGUGCCUCUUCUGUGCCCUCCGAGUUCUAGGCUGAGGGUGAGGAUUGGAUGAGUUGAUCCACGCAAGGCUCCUGGCACAGUGCCUGGCAUAUGGUUAAAUAGACUUGAAGUUAUAAUUACCAGGUAUGUGACCCUGUCCUCAAUAUGAGUGCCACAGUGGGCUGGAGAGUGGCAGCCCUGCUGGGCAGGAUCGUAGGGUCUCAGUGACAGGCCUUCCUCGUAUCCCUGACAGGGAGAGAGGCUCACUGAAUAGUAAGUUGGCUGUGUCUUUUCUGUCUGAGCCUCUCUGGGAAGCUUCCAAGGGGAUAAAGGCUUGAGCUGGAACUUGGAGGAGUUUGCAGGUGGCUGGAUUGGGGUGGGGGUGGGGAGGAGGGUGCCAGCAUGCCAGGUGGGGGAACAGCAUGGGCGAAGGUAUGGAGAUGGGGGAGGGAUCUGGACAGGGUGCCUGUGGCUGGAGCACAGGGCAUGUGUGGGCGGGAAGCAGGUGAAGAGAGGAAGAGCUCUGGGGGACUUCUGGAGGGGACCCACCGUAGGAGCAGGCCAAUGGCUGGCAGGGCUAAGUGGUGCAGGUGCCCCUGAUGGAUUUGAUCGAGGUGGGCACACAUGCUCAUGUCAGAGGCAUGUAAACCAGAGCAACUCCAUCUUGCGUAGGAGCUGGGUAAAAUGAGGCUGAGACCUACCGGGCUGCAUUCCUGGACAGUUAAGGCAUUCUAAGUCAUGGGACAAGACGACACAGGUCAUAACGACCUUGCUGAUGAAACAGGUUGCAGUAAAGAAGCUGGUCAAAACCCACAAAAACCAAGACAGCCAUGAGAGUGACCUCCGGUCGUCCUCGCUGCUACACUCCCACCAGGGCCAUGACAGUUUACAAAUGCCACAGCAAUGUCAGGAAGUUAGCCUAUAUGGUCUAAAAAGGGCAGGCAUGAAUAAUCCACCCCUUGUUUAGCAGAUCAUCAAGAAAUAACCAUAAAAAUGUGCAGCCAGCAGCCCUCGGGGCUGCUCUGCCUAUGGAGUAGCCAUUCUUUAUUCCUUUACUUUCUUAAUAAACUUGCUUUCACUUUACAGACUCACC